rnacentral:rRNA from 1 species
UACGGAGGAUGCGAGCGUUAUCCGGAUUUAUUGGGUUUAAAGGGUGCGUAGGCGGCUUUUUAAGUCAGCGGUGAAAUUUUGCAGCUUAACUGUAACAGUGCCGUUGAUACUGGGGAGCUAGGAUUUGGUUGCUGUGGGUGGAAUGUGUGGCGUAGCGGUGAAAUGCUUAGAGAUCACACAGAAUAUCGAUUGCGAAGGCAGCUCACAAAGCCAAGAUUGACGCUGAGGCACGAAAGUGUGGGGAUCAAACAGGAUUAGA